rnacentral:rRNA from 1 species
GAUGAACGCUGGCGGCGUGCCUAAUACAUGCAAGUCGAGCGAACGGACGAGAAGCUUGCUUCUCUGAUGUUAGCGGCGGACGGGUGGGUAACACGUGGAUAACCUACCUAUAAGACUGGGAUAACUUCGGGAAACCGGAGCUAAUACCGGAUAAUAUUUUGAACCGCAUGGUUCAAAAGUGAAAGGCGGUCUUGCUGUCACUUAUAGAUGGAUCCGCGCUGCAUUAGCUAGUUGGUAAGGUAACGGCUUACCAAGGCAACGAUGCAUAGCCGACCUGAGAGGGUGAUCGGCCACACUGGAACUGAGACACGGUCCAGACUCCUACGGGAGGCAGCAGUAGGGAAUCUUCCGCAAUGGGCGAAAGCCUGACGGAGCAACGCCGCGUGAGUGAUGAAGGUCUUCGGAUCGUAAAACUCUGUUAUUAGGGAAGAACAUAUGUGUAAGUAACUGUGCACAUCUUGACGGUACCUAAUCAGAAAGCCACGGCUAACUACGUG